UAAUAAUUUAGAUGAAGCUAAAAUAAAGUCACUUCUUCAUCCAAAUAAUUUUAUAUAGAUAACGGCAAACACUGCUCUCAAGACACCCGGUACGCGAUGCAUGGAAUGCAGUUUACAUUCCGGCGUAUAUGUAGGUAAAACGGACACACAGCGAUUGAGAUGCAAGCGCGCAAGCGCACGCUACCGGCGCGAUCGUACGGCACAAACGCAGUUGUUCUUGCGUGAAAACGCUGAUUUAGCACCGGUCGAAUUAGUAUUUGGUAACACCUUCGCCUCACGUAAAACAUCUUCAGCUGAAGCGCGCGGCCGGCUGAUUUCUCGCGGUAAGCGCGCGUUAUCAAGAAACGGACUCCUCGAUAAACAGUCGCUGUCCUAAAGUUGGAAGCAUCAAACUAUUUCGAGCGCCAAUCUCAUCUCGAGAGCGUGAUAAUACUUGUAAAUAAUACUAAUUGCGAUCGCUAAUUGUUUCGUGCUGGAGUAUUUAUGGACGCGCGAUUAUUGCAAAACGAUGUUCGGUCGCGCAAUCUCGAAGAACAGAACCAUCAUAGGUGGCAGGCGAUUGACAAGCAGUCGACGGUAAUGCGAGCCAAUUAACGAAUUAGCGAGCGAAUUAAGAUCCAAUCUCUAAGUAACUGUUGGCGCUGUACAGUCACGCUCGAUGUCGUAUAUCUACCCUAUAGAUCUAUGGGGAUAAUUGGAUUUUCUAUGCCAAGCGCGAGUGUUGGUUGGGGUAUCGAGAAAGUCGAAAUAUGGUAGAGUUGGACACGAGCACA